AACUUUGACAUGUUUCUUUCAGACGACCGCAUUCGCCGCCUACUGUCCUCGCACAUCGGCAAGCACUUCUACGAGAGAAAGAAAUGAACGUGGUACCUUCAGGUGUUUGGAAAUUGCUCCCAAGGAUGAACCAGAUUUGUGGAGGUCUACAAUUGUUUUUCUGAGGUCUUGGCCGAUUUCUUUUUGAUUUUCCCAUGAUGUCAAGCAAAGAGGCACUGAUUUUGAAGGGAGCCUUUGUCAUUGAACCUGCAGAGCAAAAAGCUGGCCUUGGACAUCCAGAGAACCAUCCAGGGAACAACAACCUCCAUUUCUAAGAAAGGCUGCUACUGGUGAGGCCUGCUCUCUGACUUAGUCACAUGGCUUAUGUGGCCCACUCUGGGAUGGCUGCAGAUGAAAUAGCAGAGAAUAUUGAUUCAGCUGUCAGCACCAUCGUGACAAAACUACG